AUGGCGGACGCAGAAACCUUUGCUUUCCAAGCUGAGAUCAACCAGUUGCUCUCCCUCAUCAUCAAUACCUUUUACUCUAACAAGGAGAUCUUCCUUCGUGAACUCAUCAGUAACUCUUCUGAUGUACGAUCUCUAUCUCCCUCUCUCUCUAUGUCUUAUUAUAUAGUUGUUUGAUUGAUUUGGCUCAUCGAUCUGUAGAUUUAGGUUUGAUUAGGGUUUAGCGUUCUUUCCGAUUUGAGAAUUUUGGUUGUUAAUCGAACCGGUAUCGAUCUGAAACUUUUUGUGUGCAAAUCUGUUGAUUAGGUUAAGUGUUGAUACCAAGGAUUAAGCAGUCUCUUAUUAGAUUACCAAGUUUUGGAUUGCUUAUAGUUUAUUUGUAUAUAUGUUCUGUGUAUUGGUUAUUUACGAUUUUGAAUUUUAUUCUGGUGAAAUAGGCUUUGGACAAGAUUAGGUUCGAGUCCUUAACAGACAAGAGCAAGCUCGAUGGUCAGCCUGAGCUCUUCAUUCACAUCAUUCCCGACAAGACUAACAACACCUUGACCAUUAUCGAUAGUGGGAUUGGGAUGACUAAGGCUGGUACGUAAUUGAUUUCAGUUAAAGCAAUUUGUAUUGGUUUUGUUGAUUAUUUUUGCAUCUAUGUGUUUGGUGUGUGUUGGCUAAUAAUACGUUUUUGUUGUAUUGUUCAGAUUUGGUCAACAACCUUGGAACUAUUGCGAGAUCUGGUACCAAGGAAUUCAUGGAGGCAUUGGCUGCUGGAGCUGAUGUUAGCAUGAUUGGUCACUUUGGUGUUGGUUCUACUCUGCUUACUUGGUUGCUGACAAGGUUGUUGUUACUACCAAGCACAAUGACGAUGAGCAGUAUGUGUGGGAGUCUCAGGCCGGUGGGUCUUUCACUGUGACCAGAGACACCUCUGGGGAGGCUCUUGGUAGAGGAACCAAAAUGGUCCUUUACCUCAAGGAAGACCAGUUGGAGUACCUUGAGGAGCGAAGGCUUAAGGAUUUGGUUAAGAAGCACUCUGAGUUCAUCAGCUACCCAAUCUCUCUCUGGAUUGAGAAGACCAUUGAGAAGGAGAUCUCUGAUGAUGAAGAGGAGGAAGAAAAGAAGGAUGAGGAAGGCAAGGUUGAGGAAGUAGAUGAGGAGAAAGAAAAGGAGGAGAAGAAAAAGAAGAAGAUUAAGGAGGUUUCUCAUGAGUGGGAUUUGGUGAACAAGCAGAAACCGAUUUGGAUGAGGAAGCCAGAGGAAAUCAACAAAGAAGAGUACGCUGCUUUCUACAAGAGUCUCAGCAAUGAUUGGGAGGAGCAUUUGGCUGUGAAGCAUUUCUCUGUUGAGGGGCAGCUUGAAUUCAAAGCUAUCCUCUUUGUUCCCAAGAGAGCUCCUUUUGAUCUCUUUGACACUAAGAAGAAGCCCAACAACAUCAAGCUAUAUGUCCGUCGUGUCUUCAUCAUGGACAACUGUGAAGACAUCAUUCCUG
rnacentral:lncRNA from 1 species